AACCCUAAACGCAGGCGGCGGCUG
rnacentral:siRNA from 1 species